CCUGACCCUAGGGGCAUUGCAGGUGUGGUCGUGUGACAUGCAUGUCAGUAGGUGGCAGGGAGGAGGGAGGCUGUGUCUACCUCAGGGUUCUGAUGUAUGAACAUCUGAAUGAUGGGUAGCCUAACAUU
ensembl:snoRNA Gm26016 small nucleolar RNA SNORA17